GAUGAAGAACUUAGCGAAAUGCGAUAAGUAGUGUGAAUUGCAGAAUUCAGUGAAUCAUCGAAUCUUUGAACGCACAUUGCGCCCCUUGGUAUCCCGAGGGGCAUGCCUGUUCGAGCGUCAUUUCACCACUCAAGCCUGGCUUGGUGUUGGGCGACGUCCUCUUUGGGGACGCGCCUCGAAACGCUCGGCGGCGUGGCACCGGCUUUAAGCGUAGCAGAAUCUUUCGCUUUGGAAGUCGGGGCCCCGUCUGCCGGAAGACCUGCUCGCAAGGUUGACCUCGGAUCAGGCAGGGAUACCCGCUGAACUUAAGCAUAUCAAUAAGCGGAGGA
rnacentral:misc_RNA from 1 species